CUUUUUUCGCCAAGUCACGGAGAGACUUAUUAGAAAGCCGAGUGGCUUUGAAAAAAGAACACGAAUUUCCAGGCUUUAGUUCGCGAAAUUUUUCUAAAUCUUGACUCAUAAGACGGUCGCAAUGUAGGUACAGGCAUUUCACGCCAAGGAAUUUCGUAUAUUGGUCGUGUGGCGCAACGGCAACUGCUGAUGGAGGCGUCAUCUGUCAAAGGAGUUUUUCGAGCUAGUGAAUGAUAUCGACCAACGAUAUGUGUGUUAACAAACAAGAUUGGCUAUUUUGUCAAUGUCUUUUAUUCGUUUUAAAAAAUCUUAAAAACAGUUUUGUAUUAUUUAUCUCUAUAAUUAUGUACAAAAUUCACUUUUUGUCUUUGAUUCAGCAAAAUGAAGUUGGGAAUAUGUGGAUACAAUAAAAAUGAACCACAAGCCAGUUACUGGCAGUCUCAUAAUAAUCUAACUUACAGGCUACAC